UACGUAGGGGGCUAGCGUUGUCCGGAAUCAUUGGGCGUAAGCGCGUGUAGGCGGUCCGGUAAGUCCGCUGUGAAAGUCGGGGGCUCAACCUCGGAUGCCGGUGGAUACUGUCGGGCUUGAGUACGGAAGAGGCGAGUGGAAUUCCUGGUGUAGCGGUGAAAUGCGCAGAGUAUCAGGAGGAACGACCAAUUGCGAAAGGCAGCUCGCUGGGACGUUACUGACGCUGAGA
rnacentral:rRNA from 1 species